rnacentral:lncRNA from 1 species
GGACUGUAGGUUGGCACCUCAGUAGGACCUCGAACAAUUCCUCAAUAUCUUGUCUCCAUGAAACAGCUCAUUUUUCUGAAUUCUUCGAUUGAUGGUGGUACACAUGUCUCUGUUUUUUGAGGAAGGGUGCUUUUCUGAAUGCCAUUAUGUUAGUAGUCAAAAACUAUUUCAAGGAGCUCCCAGGCAAGUGGGCAAGAGACAUCUAAGUUCUUGUGAUACAGCAGGAGAAAUGCUGAAAGAUGAGCAUGAGCAGAGAAGCACAGGUGCGCAGAGGAGCACAGGCUUCUCCAGGAAGCUGAUGGGGGAGCCAGAGCUCCCUCAGGACCAAAGAGGCCCACAUACAGGAAAGCUGUUCUCUUUGCCAGCCUUUCUAUCUCUGAUGCCAGCAAUGACCGGGACCCACAAUCUCAGGAACAGUGUGACUGCUGCUGGCCUCUUGCUGAUCUCAAGGAAGGCAAUUGCACAGACUGGGGAUGACACACACAUGGGGUCAUCUGGGCAAUGCUUCUUCUAGAACAGUGGUAGUGAACCUAUGGCAAAC